UACGGGGGGAGCAAGCGUUGUUCGGAUUUACUGGGCGUAAAGGGCGCGUAGGCGGCGUGACAAGUCACUUGUGAAAUCUCCGGGCUUAGCCCGGAACGGUCAAGUGAUACUGUCGUGCUAGAGUACAGAAGGGGCAACUGGAAUUCUCGGUGUAGCGGUGAAAUGCGUAGAUAUCGAGAGGAACACCUGCGGCGAAGGCGGGUUGCUGGGCUGAUACUGACGCUGAGGCGCGAAAGCCAGGGGAGCGAACGGG
rnacentral:rRNA from 1 species